GACGAACGCUGGCGGCGCGCCUAACACAUGCAAGUCGAACGGAGUCAAGAGGAGCUUGCUUUUCUUGACUUAGUGGCGAACGGGUGAGUAACGCGUGAGUAACCUGCCCUGGAGUGGGGGACAACAGUUGGAAACGACUGCUAAUACCGCAUAAGCCCACGGAUCUGCAUGGAUCUGCGGGAAAAGGAUUUAUUCGCUCUAGGAUGGACUCGCGUCCAAUUAGCUAGUUGGUGAGGUAACGGCCCACCAAGGCGACGAUUGGUAGCCGGACUGAGAGGUUGAACGGCCACAUUGGGACUGAAACACGGCCCAGACUCCUACGGGAGGCAGCAGUGGGGGAUAUUGCACAAUGGGGGAAACCCUGAUGCAGCGACGCCGCGUGGAGGAAGAAGGUUUUCGGAUUGUAAACUCCUGUCGUUAGGGACGAUAAUGACGGUACCUAACAAGAAAGCACCAGCUAACUACGUG
rnacentral:rRNA from 1 species